UACCAUUUGGAAACAGAUGCUAAUACCGGAUAAAAGCUACUUUCGCAUGAAAGAAAGUUUAAAAGGCGGCGUAAAGCUGUCGCUAAAGGGAUGGGACCUGCGAUGCAUUAGCUAGUUGGUAAGGUAACGGCUUACCAAGGCGAUGAUGCAUAGCCCGAGUUGAGAGACUGAUCGGCCACAUUGGGACUGAGACACGGCCCAAAAACUCCUACGGGAGGCAGCAGUAGGGAAUCUUCCACAAUGGACGAAAGUCUGAUGGAGCAACGCCGCGUGAGUGAAGAAGGUUUUCGGAUCGUAAAAGCUCUGUUGUUGGUGAAGAAGGAUAGAGGUAGUAACUGGCCUUUAUUUGACGGUAAUCAACCAGAAAGUCACGGCUAACUACGUGCCAGCAGCCGCGGUAAU
rnacentral:rRNA from 1 species